AAAUUGAAGAGUUUGAUCAUGGCUCAGAUUGAACGCUGGCGGCAGGCCUAACACAUGCAAGUCGAACGGUAACAGGAAGAAGCUUGCUUCUUUGCUGACGAGUGGCGGACGGGUGAGUAAUGUCUGGGAAAUUGCCUG
rnacentral:rRNA from 1 species